rnacentral:rRNA from 1 species
UAGAGUUUGAUCCUGGCUCAGGACGAACGCUGGCGGCGUGCCUAAUACAUGCAAGUCGAGCGGACUUGAUGGAGAGCUUGCUCUCCUGAUGGUUAGCGGCGGACGGGUGAGUAACACGUAGGCAACCUGCCUGCAAGACCGGGAUAACCCACGGAAACGUGAGCUAAUACCGGAUAUCUCAUUUCCUCUCCUGAGGGGAUGAUGAAAGACGGAGCAGUCUGUCACUUGCGGAUGGGCCUGCGGCGCAUUAGCUAGUUGGUGAGGUAAUGGCUCACCAAGGCGACGAUGCGUAGCCGACCUGAGAGGGUGAACGGCCACACUGGGACUGAGACACGGCCCAGACUCCUACGGGAGGCAGCAGUAGGGAAUCUUCCGCAAUGGGCGAAAGCCUGACGGAGCAACGCCGCGUGAGUGAUGAAGGUUUUCGGAUCGUAAAGCUCUGUUGCCAGGGAAGAACGUCCGAUAGAGUAACUGCUAUCGGAGUGACGGCACCUGAGAAGAAAGCCCCGGCUAACUACGUGCCAGCAGCCGCGGUAAUACGUAGGGGGCAAGCGUUGUCCGGAAUUAUUGGGCGUAAAGCGCGCGCAGGCGGUCAUUUAAGUCUGGUGUUUAAGGCCAAGGCUCAACCUUGGUUCGCACUGGAAACUGGGUGACUUGAGUGCAGAAGAGGAGAGUGGAAUUCCACGUGUAGCGGUGAAAUGCGUA